rnacentral:rRNA from 1 species
CCUACGGGUGGCAGCAGUGGGGAAUAUUGGACAAUGGGCGAAAGCCUGAUCCAGCCAUGCCGCGUGUGUGAAGAAGGCCUUCGGGUUGUAAAGCACUUUCAGUGGGGAAGAAAGCCUUGGGGCUAAUACCCUCGAGGAAGGACAUCACCCACAGAAGAAGCACCGGCUAACUCCGUGCCAGCAGCCGCGGUAAUACGGAGGGUGCGAGCGUUAAUCGGAAUUACUGGGCGUAAAGCGCGCGUAGGCGGUCUGAUAAGCCGGUUGUGAAAGCCCCGGGCUCAACCUGGGAACGGCAUCCGGAACUGUCAGGCUAGAGUGCAGUAGAGGAAGGUAGAAUUCCCGGUGUAGCGGUGAAAUGCGUAGAGAUCGGGAGGAAUACCAGUGGCGAAGGCGGCCUUCUGGACUGACACUGACGCUGAGGUGCGAAAGCGUGGGUAGCAAACAGGAUUAGAUACCCGUGUAGUC